rnacentral:lncRNA from 1 species
CACGACUUUAAACCGUUUUAAGAGGCAUGAUGGAUUGGAGAUUUGGCGGAUGAAUCAUUCAGUGUGGAAGUAGACGAACAGGCAUGAUGAGGUUGUGCACAAAAGCUGGUUGGAAUGAUGAGGGUGUGACUUCAGUCACAGGAGUGAUGGAGAGGCAUAACACCAUCUGAGAGAUGUGAACAGAUUUUGUGAACAAUUUGGCAUGAGGAGAGAAAGGAACCUGAAGUUUUUAGCAAGGAAGGUACCCUGUUGCUGAAAGGUGACCACUGGCUUCUGUCAGCACAUGGAUUCAGGUCCAUUGAACUGGAAAGUGCACUAGCAAACACUCCUGGCAGAGAGUUUUGAAGAGAACAGAGAGGGUGUGAUAGUGAUAUAUUAACUGCAUGUCUUCAUUUAAAAUG